UAACAAGGAUUCCCCUAGUAACUGCGAGUGAAGCGGGAUGAGCUCAAAUUUAAAAUCUGGCGGUCUCUGGCCGUCCGAGUUGUAGUCUGGAGAAGCGUUUUCCGCGUCGGACCGUGUACAAGUCUCCUGGAAUGGAGCGUCAUAGAGGGUGAGAAUCCCGUCCAUGGCACGGACCGCCGAUGCUUUGUGAUACGCUCUCGAAGAGUCGAGUUGUUUGGGAAUGCAGCUCAAAAUGGGUGGUAAAUUCCAUCUAAAGCUAAAUAUUGGCGAGAGACCGAUAGCGAACAAGUACCGUGAGGGAAAGAUGAAAAGCACUUUGAAAAGAGAGUUAAACAGUACGUGAAAUUGUUGAAAGGGAAACGCUUGAAGUCAGUCGCGUCUCGUAGAACUCAGCCUGGUUUCGGCCUGGUGUACUUUCUAUGUGGACGGGUCAACAUCAAUUUUGACCGGUGGAGAAAGGUGAGGGGAAUGUAGCGUUGCUUCGGUGACGUGUUAUAGCCCUUUGCUGUAUACACUGGUUGGGAUUGAGGACUGCAGCGCGCCUUUAAUGGCCGGGGGUUCGCCCUACGUACCGCGCUUAGGAUGUUGGCAUAAUGGCUUUAAGCGACCCGUCUUGAAACACGGACCAAGGAGUCUAACAUGUUUGCGAGUGUUCGGGUGGAAAACCCUUGCGCGUAAUGAAAGUGAAAGUUGGGAUCCUCCGCAAGGGGGUGCACCGACGCCCGGCCCUGAAGUUCUCUGACGGUGCUGCGGUAGAGCAAGUAUGUUGGGACCCGAAAGAUGGUGAACUAUGCCUGAAUAGGGCGAAGCCAGAGGAAACUCUGGUGGAGGCUCGUAGCGAUUCUGACGUGCAAAUCGAUCGUCAAAUUUGGG
rnacentral:rRNA from 1 species